AAGGAACUUGUUUCCUCGAAUAACUUCUGGCACAGACAUCUGAGGGCAUGGCCGUUCAUGAAGAAAAUGUAGCCAUUGGUGCCAUCUAUUGACCACAAGUUAAAGAUUGGCGAUCCGUUGGGUCCCGACCGAGUUAUAGGCAAAAUUUGGUGCAAAAAUGGGCCUUAUGAAAUUUUCAAGUUUUUAGAUUUUUUACAUUUUUUUAUUAUUUUUCACUCUUUUUUUUUGUUUAAAGCAUUGGUUGAGUGAAAACAAACUCAUUGCAACCAAUUGGCAUUAAAAUAAAUCAAUUUAAAUUGUUUUGCAAAAUUUCUCAAAAAAAUGGCAAGGGGUACCCCUUAUGAAAUUUUCGAGUUGAAAAUUUUUUGAAAUUUUUUUUCUCAUUUUUUAUUCUUUUUUUAAUUUACAGGAUUAUUUGAGUGAAAAUAAACUCAUUGCAACAAAUUCCCAUUAAAAUAUAUCACAUUUAUAAAUUUUGCUACAUUGGUGAAAAAUGAGGAAAAUUUUACAUUUUUUCAAACAGGGUAAGGAACUUGGUUCCUCGAAUAACUUCUGGCACAGAUAUCUUAGGGCAUGGCCGUCCAAAAAGACAAUGUAGCCAUUGGUGCCAUCUAUCGACCACAAGUUAAAAAUUGGCGAUCCGUUGGAUACCGACCGAGUUAUAGGUAAAACUUGGUGCAAAAAUUAGGAAAAUUUUACAUUUUCACAAACAGGGUAAGGAACUUGUUUCCUCGAAUAACUUCUGGCACAGACAUCUGAGGGCAUGGCCGUUCAUGAAGAAAAUGUAGCCAUUGGUGCCAUCUAUUGACCACAAGUUAAAGAUUGGCGAUCCGUUGGGUCCCGACCGAGUUAUAGGCAAAAUUUGGUGCAAAAAUGGGCCUUAUGAAAUUUUCAAGUUUUUAGAUUUUUUACAUUUUUUUAUUAUUUUUCACUCUUUUUUUUUGUUUAAAGCAUUGGUUGAGUGAAAACAAACUCAUUGCAACCAAUUGGCAUUAAAAUAAAUCAAUUUAAAUUGUUUUGCAAAAUUUCUCAAAAAAAUGGCAAGGGGUACCCCUUAUGAAAUUUUCGAGUUGAAAAUUUUUUGAAAUUUUUUUUCUCAUUUUUUAUUCUUUUUUUUAAUUUACAGGAUUAUUUGAGUGAAAAUAAACUCAUUGCAACAAAUUCCCAUUAAAAUAUAUCACAUUUAUAAAUUUUGCUACAUUGGUGAAAAAUGAGGAAAAUUUUACAUUUUUUCAAACAGGGUAAGGAACUUGGUUCCUCGAAUAACUUCUGGCACAGAUAUCUUAGGGCAUGGCCGUCCAAAAAGACAAUGUAGCCAUUGGUGCCAUCUAUCGACCACAAGUUAAAAAUUGGCGAUCCGUUUGAUACCGACCGAGUUAUAGGUAAAACUUGGUGCAAAAAUUAGGAAAAUUUUACAUUUUCACAAACAGGGUAAGGAACUUGUUUCCUCGAAUAACUUCUGGCACAGACAUCUGAGGGCAUGGCCGUUCAUGAAGAAAAUGUAGCCAUUGGUGCCAUCUAUUGACCACAAGUUAAAGAUUGGCGAUCCGUUGGGUCCCGACCGAGUUAUAGGCAAAAUUUGGUGCAAAAAUGGGCCUUAUGAAAUUUUCAAGUUUUUAGAUUUUUUACAUUUUUUUAUUAUUUUUCACUCUUUUUUUUUGUUUAAAGCAUUGGUUGAGUGAAAACAAACUCAUUGCAACCAAUUGGCAUUAAAAUAAAUCAAUUUAAAUUGUUUUGCAAAAUUUCUCAAAAAAAUGGCAAGGGGUACCCCUUAUGAAAUUUUCGAGUUGAAAAUUUUUUGAAAUUUUUUUUCUCAUUUUUUAUUCUUUUUUUAAUUUACAGGAUUAUUUGAGUGAAAAUAAACUCAUUGCAACAAAUUCCCAUUAAAAUAUAUCACAAUUAUAAAUUUUGCUACAUUGGUGAAAAAUGAGGAAAAUUUUACAUUUUUUCAAACAGGGUAAGGAACUUGGUUCCUCGAAUAACUUCUGGCACAGAUAUCUUAGGGCAUGGCCGUCCAAAAAGACAAUGUAGCCAUUGGUGCCAUCUAUCGACCACAAGUUAAAAAUUGGCGAUCCGUUGGAUACCGACCGAGUUAUAGGUAAAAGUUGGUGCAAAAAUUAGGAAAAUUUUACAUUUUCUCAAACAGGGUAUGGAACAUGGUUCCUCGAAUAACUUCUGGCACAGACAUCUGAGGGCAUGGCCGUUCAUGAAGAAAAUGUAGCCAUUGGUGCCAUCUAUUGACCACAAGUUAAAGAUUGGCGAUCCGUUGGGUACCGACCGAGUUAUAGGCAAAAUUUGGUGCAAAAAUGGGCCUU